CGCGCGGCCCUGCCCUUGACGCCGGUACGAAGUAACAGCUCACCGUCGGAUGCGUCCAGGUCCCACCGGUCGGUCACACACCGACCCUAUUCGGGGCCUUGUUCA
rnacentral:sRNA from 1 species